rnacentral:rRNA from 1 species
UACAGAGGCCCCGAGCGUUAUCCGGAAUUAUUGGGCGUAAAGGGUGUGUAGGUGGCGUCAUUAGUCGUUUUUGAAAGUCCGGGGCUCAACCUCGGGAACGGGGACGAAACGGUGAUGCUUGAGUUUGUGAGAGGUAAGCGGAACUCUCUGUGUAGGGGUGAAAUCCGUUGAUAUAGAGGGGAACACCAAAAGCGAAGGCAGCUUACUGGCACAAUACUGACACUGAAACACGAAAGCGUGGGUAGCGAAUGGG